UUGCUCACUCACUUCAGCAGCACAUACACUAAAAUUGGAACAAUACAGAAGAUGUGCAUGACUCCCACUGAAGGGAGACACAAAACCUCGUUAAGCAUUCUGUAUUUUC